AUUGCCAGGACAGCUCUAUGUUGGAACAGGAAUGGGAAUGGGAAUAUUCUGGUACCACUUUCAAAAGUUCUCCUGCUUCACUCAUUACUUUAGAAGUGCAAGUUCUUUAAUUUUCUAGAUUCCUAAGAUUUAAGUGGUCACUGAUGGCCUUAUGCUGCUGUUCGGGCUUUACUAUGCUCCUGAGGAAAUGGUAGCACAAGGAACAUAAAAUGAGUAGCUGUCAUUAGGUGGCCAACCAACACAUCUGCUGCAAAUGUGCCAGCAAAUCAAGAGACAAGUGAUUGCAAACUAAAUCUCUACAGAUGACAGAGUCUCCAGCAAAAGCUUCAGAUGGAAGGAGAAACAAGGAGACAAAAGGGAAAAUGGAGCCUGGCGCUACAAACACUAAGUACAACACCACAAGGGACAACCUUUUUAUGUACCCAAUGUGGCCAGGAUAGCAGGCUUCAUAUUGGCAAAUACAGCCACUCAUGCACUCCUAGGUGAACUUCA